AUCACUGAUUGAUCUUGUUGAAAUGCAGAUUCUGACUCAGGGAUCUGGGGUGAGGCCUGAGAUUCUGCAUUUCUAACAAGCUCCCACCUGACGC
rnacentral:miRNA from 1 species